rnacentral:rRNA from 1 species
GAUGAACGCUGGCGGCGUCCUUUCACAUGCAAGUCGAACGAACCUUCGGGUUAGUGGCGGACGGGUGAGUAACGCGUGAGAAUCUGCCCUCAGGAGGGGGAUAACGGUUGGAAACGACCGCUAAUACCCCAUAUGCCGAAAGGUGAAAUGAAUUUCGCCUGAGGAUGAGCUCGCGUCUGAUUAGCUUGUUGGUGAGGUAAUGGCUCACCAAGGCUUCGAUCAGUAGCUGGUCUGAGAGGAUGAUCAGCCACACUGGGACUGAGACACGGCCCAGACUCCUACGGGAGGCAGCAGUGGGGAAUUUUCCGCAAUGGGCGAAAGCCUGACGGAGCAACGCCGCGUGAGGGACGAAGGCCUCUGGGCUGUAAACCUCUUUUCUCAAGGAAGAAGAUAUGACGGUACUUGAGGAAUAAGCCACGGCUAAUUCCGUG